AGGGCCCUAGUAAAAGGACAUUACUCUGCCUUGUCAAGGCAGAAUUGUGGGUUGAAACCCCGCGGGUCCUG
rnacentral:tRNA from 1 species